GUCCUCUUGAAAUCUUUUUCGGGAGGCUUUAGCAGCCAAUUUAUUGUAAAUUUUCAAUGCUUCACUGCUCAAUAAAGAAGUUCCAUUGCACACAAGUGUUGUACCUGCUAGGAUUCAUGAAGCUUGCUAGAAGAAAAUCUGGUUGCCAAAACAAAUCUCUAAGAAUUCGGAACAAAUUCUGAUAAGAAAAGAUGGUGCUGAGUGUUCUGAUGGUAUUGGGCUCUGGGGUGUGUUUAUUUAUUUUCUCUGGUGGGUGUCUCUCUGACCUGUUUAGGUCAGUGGGAAAAGAACAAAGGCCUUUCCUCUUCCUGAUUACACCACCAGGAAGCCCCAGGUAGCUGAAAUGAGAAUGCUUCAAGAUACAGGAAUAGAUACAUUCCCAUAGAGAAAAUAGGACAAACAACCAAUUAAGCACUGACACCAGAGGAAAGACCAACAUAACAGCCCUGGAAACCAACACACUGAAGUGAAUGAGGCCUUCAAGGCUUUCCAGAAUUAUAGGGUAUUCAUUGGUACAAAGAGAAAUGGUAUGUGGACACAAUUCUUGGCACCAGAUUCAGGGACCAUGGAUCCUGAGAUGGAUCAGCAGUAGGACCCAAAACACCAAAUCACAAGUCAGGAGCUGGCUAAGGUAAGGCCAUAGAACAAUUAAAGGUGGAAAUUCUGUGAGAAAAUGGUGGAAUUAAAGGUGGUCCUGGGACACCUGGGUGGUUCCGUUGGUCAAGUAUCUGCCUUUUAAUUUCGGCUCAGGUCACGAUCUCAGGGUUGGGAUAUAGAGCCCUGUGUUGGGUUCUGUGCUGGGCAUGGAGCCUGCUUAAGAUUCUUUCUGUCUCCCUCUGCCCUUCCACCCCCUGGCUAAAAAUAUGGUGGUUGAGGGCCAGAAUUUAAGACAAUCGUAGAAGUUGUCAGGGCCAAGAAAGGACAAGCCAUGGGAAUCAAGAUCUGAGGGAUACUCUUAGAUCUAAGCAGGAAGGGUCACAAAGAGACCAGGGAGGAGAACCAGAAUGGGUGUCAUAGGACCAGAUGGCAUAGUCCAAGACGGGUUUGCUCAGCCUCCUGAGGGUGGAUGUCUGUUGGUGCAGAAAGGCUGGGGCUCUGCAGGCAACUGCUGGUACCACACUCAAUCAAGUGGUGGUCACUGUGGUUAGUGGAAUCCAGGACCCCCUGACUAUAAAAUGAUAUUGGUAGACUCAUAGGUGACAAGCCAGGAUUCUUAAGGAUGGCAUGGAGGUCAGUCUCUAUUCUUUAGUCUCUGAGGGCUAGGUAAGGUUAAAGGUCAGGAUGCCAAGAAUAGUAGCUAUGUUAUAAAUAAUUUGAGUUGAGUUUCCUGUUAUUUGCAUCCAAAGCACUCAAACUAACUGUGGGUGUGUGCACGGGUAUGUAUUUUAAUGUAUAUAG
rnacentral:lncRNA from 1 species